ensembl:misc_RNA Metazoa_SRP Metazoan signal recognition particle RNA
GCCGGGCGCGGUGGCGGGCGCCUGUAGUCCCAGCUACUCGGAGGCUGAGGCAGGAGAAUGGCGUGAACCCAGGAGGCGGAGCUUGCAGUGAGCCGAGAUCGCGCCACUGCACUGUAGCCUGGGCAACAGCGUGAGACUCUGUCUCAA